GAUGAACGCUGGCGGCGUGCCUAAUACAUGCAAGUCGAGCGAACAGAUGAGGAGCUUGCUCCUCUGACGUUAGCGGCGGACGGGUGAGUAACACGUGGAUAACCUACCUAUAAGACUGGGAUAACUUCGGGAAACCGGAGCUAAUACCGGAUAAUAUAUUGAACCGCAUGGUUCAAUAGUGAAAGACGGUUUUGCUGUCACUUAUAGAUGGAUCCGCGCCGCAUUAGCUAGUUGGUAAGGUAACGGCUUACCAAGGCAACGAUGCGUAGCCGACCUGAGAGGGUGAUCGGCCACACUGGAACUGAGACACGGUCCAGACUCCUACGGGAGGCAGCAGUAGGGAAUCUUCCGCAAUGGGCGAAAGCCUGACGGAGCAACGCCGCGUGAGUGUUGAAGGUCUUCGGAUCGUAAAACUCUGUUAUUAGGGAAGAACAAAUGUGUAAGUAACUAUGCACGUCUUGACGGUACCUAAUCAGAAAGCCACGGCUAACUACGUG
rnacentral:rRNA from 1 species